rnacentral:lncRNA from 12 species
CGGAGCUGCCGGCAGAACUCAGGAAUUCGGGGUUUUUCCAGCUCUCUCUGGGUUCUUUCUGCUCCGUAAAUUCUCUCCGUAGAAUUUGGGAGUCGGGAGUUCUGGGAGUUGGGAAUUCUAGGAAUUGUGAGCUUCGGGAGUUUUGGGUUUUGGGAGCUGGGAGUUUUGGGGGUUGGAAUUUUGGCGGCUGUGGUUGUUAGGAAUUGUGAACUUUAGGAAUUGUGAAUUUUGGGUGUCAGGAACUUUAGCAAUUGUGAGUCCCUGCCACCAUUCCCAGCCAACCCUGGGAACACCCUUUCCUUUUCCCUGUGAUUUUCCUGGAUUCCUCCCUGACGUUUUCCCAUUUCUAACCAAAAUAUUGGAAUUUUCCCACUCUUGUUUUUUCCCAGUUUUUCCCCUCCAAACUCAGCAGCUUCUCAUGCCCUGCCGGGAACUCCUCCUGCUCCCUCAGCUACACCCCGGGUGAGUUUUCCCUCUGGAAUUUGGGGCUGUUUCCCCUGAAAACAACCCCUGGAGGACGGGAAAUUUGGGAGUUUCUGGCAAUUCCCGGUGUUUUUCCUCUCAGAGAUUCCCGAAAGGUUCCCGGGAGCCAACGGGCAGUGGAGGAGCUCCAAGCCCCGGGGGAAGAUCGGAAGAGCGUCGUGGGAAAUCUGAGGAAAUCUGGGGAGAUCCAGGGAAAUGUGGGGAGAUGUGGGGAAAUCCAGAGAGAUCCAGGGAAUUCGGGGAAAUCUGGGGAGAUCCAGGGAAAUCCAGGGAAAUCUGGGGAAAUGCAGGGAGAUGUGGGGAAAUCCAGGGAAAUAUGGGGAGAUCUGGGGAAAUGUGGGGAGUCCUGGGGAAAUGCAGGGAAAUCCAGAGAGAUCCAGGGAAUUUGGGGAAAUCUGGGGAGAUCCAGGGAAUUCGGGGAAAUCUGAGGAAAUCUGGGGAGAUCCAGGGAAAUGUGGGGAGAUGUGGGGAGAUCUGGGGAAAUGCAGGGAAAUCCAGAGAGAUCCAGAGAGAUCCAGGGAAAUUCAGGGAAAUCUGAGGAAAUCUGGGGAAUCCUGGGGAAGUGCAGGGAGAUCUGGGGAAAUGUGGGGAAAUCCAGAGAGAUCCAGGGAAUUCGGGGAAAUGUGGGGAGAUCCAGGGAAGUGCAGGAAGAUCCGGGGAAAUGCAGAGAAAUCCAGAGAGAUCCAGGAAAUUCGGGAAAAUCUGAGGAGAUCAGGGAGAUGCGGGGAAAUGCAGGGAAAUGUGGGGAGAUCCAGGGAAAUUUGGGAAGAUGUGGGGAAAUGCAGGGAAAUCGAGGGAAAUGUGAGGAAAUGCAGGGAGAUCCAGGGAAAUGUGGGGAGAUGUGGGGAGAUCUGGGGAAAUGCAGGGAAAUCCAGAGAGAUCCAGAGAGAUCCAGGGAAAUUCAGGGAAAUCUGAGGAAAUCUGGGGAAUCCUGGGGAAGUGCAGGGAGAUCUGGGGAAAUGUGGGGAAAUCCAGAGAGAUCCAGGGAAAUCUGAGGAAAUCUGGGGAGAUCAGGGAGAUGCGGGGAGAUCCAGGGAAAUUCGGAGAAAUGUGGGGAAAUCCAGGGAAAUGUGGGGGGAUCUAGGGAAAUCCAGAGAGGUCCAGGGAAUUCGGGGAAAUCUGGGGAGAUCAGGGAAAUGUGGGGAGAUCUGGGGAAAUGUGGGGAGAUCCAGGGAAAUUCGGGGAAAUCUGAGGAAAUCUGGGGAGCUCCAGGGAAAUGCGGGGAGAUCUGGGGAAAUGUGGGGAAAUGCAGUGAAAUCUGGGGAGAUCUGGGGAAAUGCAGGGAGAUGUGGGGAAAUCCAGGGAAAUGUGGGGAGAUCUGGGGGGAUCUGGGGGGAUCUGGGCAAAUCUGAGGAGAUCUGGGGAAAUCUGGGGAAAUUAGGGGAAAUUCAGGGAGAUGUGGGGAAAUGUGGGGAGAUCUGAGGAGAUCCAGGGAAAUGUGGGGAAAUCCCAGCAGUCUUGUGGGACUGGGGGGGGCUCAGGCAGAGCUGGGGGCGCUGCUGGGGUUAAACAAUGAAAUUCCUGGGCUUUUGCAGCCCUCAGUCCCG